AAAAUCAUAGUUAAAUUGGCAAUAACAUAUACUAAUAACAUUCUAAAAUAACUAUAUUAGUAUAAAUUAUCAGUUCAAAUCUGGUUGAUUUUA
rnacentral:tRNA from 1 species